rfam:Anoxybacillus flavithermus WK1, complete genome.
CCUUCGGAGCGCCAAAGAAACGAGAGUAGCGUUUCGCGAAAUCGGGCGCGAUGAACAAGGAA